CUUUCAAAUAGCCACGUUCCUUUUUUUCACCGUUGAUGCUACUUUUGUCUUUGACGUUGCUGAAAGUAAGAGUUCUGCAAGGAUCCGAUGAUGUUCACCGAUAUGCUGAAUUAUGAUGCAAGGUAACGCGAGAUAUUAGUGCGGUUCAAUCAAAUAGUCGUGUUCUCACUUGAUAGAGAUCGGUUUUGUUCGAUUGAGCCGUGCCAAUAUCACGCGUCAACCCAAAACGGCAAAGAUGGUUUUAUUAACCGUGAAGGUAUGUUGACACGCGACACGCGACACAAACCCCAAAAUCCAAGUACAGCUGCGAUAUAACACUUCUAUUUUUAGAAAGUACAUAAGGAAUUUUAAGCAAAAAAAAAAUGUAGUAACACGCUACGAGAGUAAAAGUAAUAGCUAGAAUGAAAAUGUUGUCGUGGGCUUUCUAUCGCGAGGAUAUUGCAACAAUACAGAGAAUUAUAAGUUUUGAUUUGUACUUAUUUGCACUUCUGUCUACAGUUAAUUGACUUGUUUUUAACGUUACUUAAAUAAAAGUGUAAGGUUUAUUA